CACUGCGCACGCCCUGCACCUCCUUGCUCCGCCUUCCACGUCCCUCAUCCCCAUCAUGUUUGUCGUUACCACUUGGGGUUUUCCUGGUUUCACUUGAGUGAUUUCCCGAAGCGGAUUCUCCAUUUCGCUGGUGGACGUCGUUCCAGUUCUGAUGGAUCUUCUGGCUGGUUGUUAGGUCACCGCCAGCUCUUCAAGGACCGUGGAGGUGAGGUUUCGCCUUUCCUGACUAGAGCUCAACGAUUCCAUCCCCUCUAUUGGCUGAAUGCUUUGCUGCCUGACCCUGAGCAAGUUCUUAUUGUCUUCGUGCCCUGGUUUGUCAUCUGUAAAUGGGGAUCGUCGCUGGACCUACCGGAAAGGGAAGCUUGAGGCUUAUAUGAGGUCGUUCGUGGAAGGUGCUUGGCGUGGAGGCAGGUGUAUGAAAAAGCUCAGUGUAUGUUGAUUACGACUGUAUUCCAUGACGUCCA